rnacentral:rRNA from 1 species
UACGUAGGGGGCAAGCGUUGUCCGGAAUCAUUGGGCGUAAAGAGCGCGUAGGCGGUCCGGUAAGUCCGCUGUGAAAGUCGGGGGCUCAACCCUCGAAUGCCGGUGGAUACUGUCGGGCUAGAGUCCGGAAGAGGCGAGUGGAAUUCCUAGUGUAGCGGUGAAAUGCGCAGAUAUCAGGAGGAACACCAAUGGCGAAGGCAGCUCGCUGGGACGGUACUGACGCUGAGGCGCGAAAGCGUGGGGAGCAAACAGG